UCCCUACGGGGCGCAGCAGGCGCGAAAACUUUACAAUGCUGCUGCAACAGCGAUAAGGGAACCUCGAGUGCCAGGUUACAAAUCUGGCUGUCGUGAUGCCUAAAAAGCAUUGCAUAGCAAGGGCCGGGCAAGACCGGUGCCAGCCGCCGCGGUAACACCGGCGGCUCGAGUGGUAACCGUUAUUAUUGGGUCUAAAGGGUCUGUAGCCGGCCGGAUAAGUCUCUUGAGAAAUCUGGCAGCUUAACUGUCAGGCUUUCGAGGAGAAUACUGUCAUGGCUCGAGGCCGAGAGAGAGGUGAGAGGUACUUCAGGGGUAGGGGUGAAAUCUUGUAAU
rnacentral:rRNA from 1 species